rnacentral:rRNA from 1 species
AUUGAACGCUGGCGGCAGGCCUAACACAUGCAAGUCGAGCGAGAGGCGGGCAGGGGUGUAAUGUGUGUGAAACUCCCUGAUGGAGGGGGAUAACUACUGGAAACGGUAGCUAAUACCGCAUACCCUCUGAUGUGUCCCGAUGGGAUUAGCUAGUGGGUGGGGUAAUGGCUCACAUCGGCGACGAUCCCUAGCUGGUCUGAGAGGAUGACCAGCCACACUGGAACUGGGACACGGUCCAGACUCCUCCGGGAGGCAUCAGGGGGGAAUAUUGCACAAUGGGCGCAAGCCUGAUGCAGCCAUGCCGCGUGUGUGAAGAAGGCCUUCGGGUUGUAAAGCACUUUCAGCGGGGAGGCGGUACUCGCAGAAGAAGCACCGGCUAACUCCGUGCCAGCAGCCGCGGUAAUUC